UAUGACCUACGGGGGGCAGCAGUGGGGGAUAUUGCACAAUGGGGGAAACCCUGAUGCAGCGACGCCGCGUGUGGGAAGACGGUCUUCUGGAUUGUAAACCACUGUCCCCAGGGACGAAAAUGACGGUACCUGGGGAGGAAGCUCCGGCUAACUACGUGCCAGCAGCCGCGGUAAUACGUAGGGAGCAAGCGUUGUCCGGAAUUACUGGGUGUAAAGGGGGCGCAGACGGCAAUGCAAGCCAGGAGUGAAAGCCCGGGGCCCAACCCCGGGACUGCUCUUGGAACUGCAUGGCUGGAGUACAGGAG
rnacentral:rRNA from 1 species